CAGCCGCCACGGGAAUACAGAGGGUGCGAGCGUUAAUCGGAUUUACUGGGCGUAAAGCGUGCGUAGGCGGCUUCUUAAGUCGGAUGUGAAAUCCCUGAGCUUAACUUAGGAAUUGCAUUCGAUACUGGGAAGCUAGAGUAUGGGAGAGGAUGUUAGAAUUCCAGGUGUAGCGGUGAAAUGCGUAGAGAUCUGGAGGAAUACCGAUGGCGAAGGCAGCCAUCUGGCCUAAUACUGACGCUGAGGUACGAAAGCAUGGGGAGCAAACAGGAUUAGAGACCCCUGUAGUCCCUGUCUCUUAUAA
rnacentral:rRNA from 1 species